rnacentral:rRNA from 1 species
GACGAACGCUGGCGGCGUGCCUAAUACAUGCAAGUUGAGCGCUGAAGGUUGGUACUUGUACCAACUGGAUGAGCAGCGAACGGGUGAGUAACGCGUGGGGAAUCUGCCUUUGAGCGGGGGACAACAUUUGGAAACGAAUGCUAAUACCGCAUAAAAACUUUAAACACAAGUUUUAAGUUUGAGAGAUGCAAUUGCAUCACUCAAAGAUGAUCCCGCGUUGUAUUAGCUAGUUGGCGAGGUAAAGGCUCACCAAGGCGAUGAUACAUAGCCGACCUGAGAGGGUGAUCGGCCACAUUGGGACUGAGACACGGCCCAAACUCCUACGGGAGGCAGCAGUAGGGAAGCUUCGGCAAUGGACGAAAGUCUGACCGAGCAACGCCGCGUGAGUGAAGAAGGUUUUCGGAUCGUAAAACUCUGUUGGUAGAGAAGAACGUUGGUGAGAGUGGAAAGCUCAUCAAGUGACGGUAACUACCCAGAAAGGGACGGCUAACUACGUG